CCUACGGGAGGCAGCAGUGAGGAAUAUUGGUCAAUGGACGAGAGUCUGAACCAGCCAAGUAGCGUGAAGGAUGACUGCCCUAUGGGUUGUAAACUUCUUUUAUAUGGGAAUAAAAUGUUCCACGUGUAGGAUUUUGUAUGUACCAUAUGAAUAAGGAUCGGCUAACUCCGUGCCAGCAGCCGCGGUAAUACGGAGGCUCCGAGCGUUAUCCGGAUUUAUUGGGUUUAAAGGGAGCGUAGGUGGAUUGUUAAGUCAGUUGUGAAAGUUUGCGGCUCAACCGUAAAAUUGCAGUUGAAACUGGCAGUCUUGAGUACAGGAGAGGUGGGCGGAAUUCGUGGUGUAGCGGUGAAAUGCUUAGAUAUCACGAAGAACGCCGAUUGCGAAGGCAGUUCACUGGACUGCAACUGACACUGAGGCUCGAAAGUGUGGGUAUCAAACAGGAUUAGAUACCCGGGUAGUC
rnacentral:rRNA from 1 species